rnacentral:tRNA from 1 species
UCCUGGAUGGUCCAGUGGCUAGGACUUCGUGCUUUUACUUCUGGGGCCCAGGUUCGAUCCCUGGCCAGGGAA